GAACAGGAACGUGAAGGGACAGGAGACAGAAACCUGCUCAGUCUUUUGUUUUGGAUACUUUUUCUGGAUGAUGCCAGAAGCGGCGGCGGCGUUGAGGAGGAGCAGCCGCACCUUCAGCCUCGGAUCCCGGGCACAUCUGCUGCCGCUUUGUCGCCGCUCUGAAGGAGGUGCGGAAGGAGGCAGCUCGUAGGAGCCGGACUGUGUGGAUUUGGUUGGUUUUCCUCCAGCAUCAGCUGCUGCUGCUGCUGCCGGUGCUACUCUUCUUGGCUGAGACUGCGGAUUGUCAUUGAUCCGCUGCUGCUGCUGCUGCUGCUGCCGGAAUCCGGUGCACACAGCUGAAGAAGGAAUACAUUGUGAAGCCAAGAUGAUGUGCGAGGUGAUGCCCACCAUCAGCGAGGACACGGCGCUGAGCCAGCGCGGCUCUCAGAGCAGCGCCUCGGACCCGGACUCCCACUUUGAGCAGCUGAUGGUCAACAUGCUGGACGAGAGGGACCGGCUGCUGGACACGCUGAGGGAGACUCAGGAGAGCCUGGGAUUGGCUCAGCAGCAUCUUCAGGACGUCAUCUACGACCGCGACUCCCUGCAGCGGCAGCUCAGCUCCGCCCUGCCACAGGUGAGUUCAACAAAUGUCACUUUU